CUUUAGAGUCUGCUAUCCCGUUUUUUACUUUCUAGGGUUUUGACUUUGGACUCUCAAUUUACAUUCCAGCCGCACAACUUUGAACUCUCCUUUCUCACAGUCUCACACUCUCAUCCCCUCUUUGCUCUCUGGCUCUCUCCUUCUCACUGCUGUACGGCACGCACCAGCAAGUCAGCAACAAGAUUUCAGUUAUCAAAUUAUUUGAGUUAUAAAUUAGCUUCACCGAGGAUUUCGUAAGUGCGAUUUGUGAUUUUCUCGGUUCUUCUUCAACAUUUGGGUUUUGUAGCUGCGAAUUGUGAUUGUCGAUUCUUCUUCUAUUUCGUCAAGAUAUUUUUAAAAAAUGCGGUCGAAAAUGUUAACAACCCAUCUGAUUAUGUUGAUGUCUCUUCAACAAAGACAGUUGGGAAAGGAGUUUAGGAGACUGUUCCUGAUUCCCCAAAACAUUCCAAAAAAGUGUUGGGAAGCCGUACGAAAAUGUUGCUGUUGGUCAACAGAAUGAUGUUGCUCAAUCCAGAAGAAGGCCAAAGAAGCCGAAAGUGAAAUUGGAAUACAUGGAGGAGGACGGGGAUGCAUGUUGUAGAGUUGGAUAGAUAUAAAUCCUAGCCACUUUAACUAAUCUAUGUCAUUGUUUAACUAUUUUAAUUCAUUGUUGAACUAAUUGCUUUCCCUGCUUAAGUAAUUGGUUCAUGUACUUAGUUAAGCAAUUAAAGUAAUUAGUUAAGCUUAAAACACAAUUAGUAAAAUAUUAAUUCUGCAGUUACCUUUUGAAAGUAAUUAGUUAAACUGUGAAAACAAUUAGUUAAGUAUUUCAAGCAUUUAGUGUAUCUGUUUCAUUUAUUAGUUAA